UACGGAGGGUGCGAGCGUUGUCCGGAUUUAUUGGGUUUAAAGGGUGCGUAGGUGGCCCUGUAAGUCAGUGGUGAAAUACAGCCGCUUAACGGUUGAGGUGCCAUUGAUACUGCAGGGCUUGAAACAAGUGGAGGCUGCCGGAAUGGAUGGUGUAGCGGUGAAAUGCAUAGAUAUCAUCCAGAACGCCGAUUGCGAAGGCAGGUGGCUACGUUUGAUUUGACACUGAGGCACGAAAGCAUGGGGAGCAAACAGG
rnacentral:rRNA from 1 species